GCUUACGGCCAUACCACCUUAGGCACGCCCGAUCUCGUCUGAUCUCGGAAGCUAAGCAGGGUCGGGCCUGGUUAGUACUUGGAUGGUUGGCCGCCUGGGAAUACCAGGUGCUGUAAGAA
rnacentral:rRNA from 10 species